GAUGAACGCUGGCGGCGUGCCUAAUACAUGCAAGUCGAGCGAACAGACGAGGAGCUUGCUCCUCUGACGUUAGCUGCGGACGGGUGAGUAACACGUGGAUAACCUACCUAUAAGACUGGGAUAACUUCGGGAAACCGGAGCUAAUACCGGAUAAUAUAUUGAACCGCAUGGUUCAAUAGUGAAAGACGGUUUUGCUGUCACUUAUAGAUGGAUCCGCGCCGCAUUAGCUAGUUGGUAAGGUAACGGCUUACCAAGGCGACGAUGCGUAGCCGACCUGAGAGGGUGAUCGGCCACACUGGAACUGAGACACGGUCCAGACUCCUACGGGAGGCAGCAGUAGGGAAUCUUCCGCAAUGGGCGAAAGCCUGACGGAGCAACGCCGCGUGAGUGAUGAAGGUCCUCGGAUCGUAAAACUCUGUUAUUAGGGAAGAACAAAUGUGUAAGUAACUAUGCACGUCUUGACGGUACCUAAUCAGAAAGCCACGGCUAACUACGUG
rnacentral:rRNA from 1 species